CCUACGGGCGGCAGCAGUGAGGAAUAUUGGUCAAUGGACGAGAGUCUGAACCAGCCAAGUAGCGUGAAGGAUGACUGCCCUAUGGGUUGUAAACUUCUUUUAUAUGGGAGUAAAAUGUUCCACGUGUGGGAUUUUGUAUGUACCAUAUGAAUAAGGAUCGGCUAACUCCGUGCCAGCAGCCGCGGUAAUACGGAGGAUCCGAGCGUUAUCCGGAUUUAUUGGGUUUAAAGGGAGCGUAGGUGGAUUGUUAAGUCAGUUGUGAAAGUUUGCGGCUCAACCGUAAAAUUGCAGUUGAAACUGGCAGUCUUGAGUACAGUAGAGGUGGGCGGAAUUCGUGGUGUAGCGGUGAAAUGCUUAGAUAUCACGAAGAACUCCGAUUGCGAAGGCAGUUCACUGGACUGCAACUGACACUGAGGCUCGAAAGUGUGGGUAUCAAACAGGAUUAGAUACCCUUGUAGUC
rnacentral:rRNA from 1 species